UGGGGAAUUUUGGACAAUGGGGGCAACCCUGAUCCAGCCAUGCCGCGUGUGUGAAGAAGGCCUUCGGGUUGUAAAGCACUUUCGGACGGAACGAAAUCGCACGGGUGAAUAUCCCGUGUGGAUGACGGUACUGUAAGAAGAAGCACCGGCUAACUACGUGCCAGCAGCCGCGGUAAUACGUAGGGUGCGAGCGUUAAUCGGAAUUACUGGGCGUAAAGCGUGCGCAGGCGGCUUCGCAAGUCAGACGUGAAAUCCCCGGGCUUAACCUGGGAAUGGCGUUUGAAACUACGGAGCUGGAGUGUGGCAGAGGGGGGUAGAAUUCCACGUGUAGCGGUGAAAUGCGUAGAUAUGUGGAGGAAUACCGAUGGCGAAGGCAGCCCCCUGGGCCAACACUGACGCUCAUGCACGAAAGCGUGGGGAGCAAACAGG
rnacentral:rRNA from 1 species